rnacentral:tRNA from 1 species
GAGUAUAUAGCUCAGAGGUAGAGCAUUGGACUUUUAAUCCACAGGCCUUGGGUUCAAAUCCCAAUGUACUCA